rnacentral:rRNA from 1 species
AGCAUAUCAAUAAGUGGAGGAAAAGAAACCAACAGGGAUUGCCUCAGUAACGGCGAGUGAAGCGGCAAGAGCUCAGAUUUGAAAUCUGGCCCCGUGUCGGGGUCCGAGUUGUAGUCUGUAGAGGAUGCUUUGGGGGCGAACCGGGUCUAAGUCCCUUGGAACAGGGCGUCAGAGAGGGUGAGAGUCCCGUCUGUGGCCCGGCCCUCGCCCCCGGGUGAAGCUCCCUCGACGAGUCGAGUUGUUUGGGAAUGCAGCUCCAACCGGGUGGUAAAUCUCAUCUAAAGCUAAAUACCGGCCAGAGACCGAUAGCGCACAAGUAGAGUGAUCGAAAGAUGAAAAGCACUUUGGAAAGAGGGUUAAACAGCACGUGAAAUUGUUGAAAGGGAAGCGCUUGCGAUCAGACUUGCCCGCGGUCCCUCAGUCGGUGGUACCCUCCGCCGGCGCAUUGGGCCGUGGGCAGGCCAGCAUCGGUUUGAGCGGCGGGAGAAGGCCCCCGGGAAUGUGGCUCCCUUCGGGGUGCGUUAUAGCCUGGGGUGACACGCCGCCGCUCGGACCGAGGCCCGCGCUCCGGCAAGGAUGCUGGCGUAAUGGUCGUCAGCGACCCGUCUUGAAACACGGACCAAGGAGUCUAACGUCCACGCGAGUGUUUGGGCGUCAAACCCCGACGCGCAAUGAAAGUGAACGGAGGUGGGAACCCGCCAGGGUGCACCAUCGACCGAUCCUGAAGUCUUCGGAUGGAUUUGAGUACGAGCGUGGCCGUUGGGACCCGAAAGAUGGUGAUCUAUGCCUGAAUAGGGUGAAGCCAGAGGAAACUCUGGUGGAGGCUCGCAGCGGUUCUGACGUGCAAAUCGAUCGUCGAAUUUGGGUAUAGGGGCGAAAGACCAAUCGAACCAUUGUUGAGAGCUUCGCUGCUAGGUGGUUGAGAGGUGGCCCAAAGAAGCCACCUAGUCCCCGAUCAACCGGGGGCAACACUGCCAAAUUGCGGGGACACCCUGAGAGCUCAUGCAACCGUGGCCCUACCGAAACGGUAGACCGGCCUCACCUGGGUAACGCCCACGGGUACAGGUAACAUCGCAUGAGAUUGGGCAAUCCGCAGCGUAGUCCUACGGGUCCCACAUGACCCACGGAACACGUUCACAGACUAGAUGGUAGUGGGUGGGCCUGGACCGGAGUCACGGGCGCCGCUUAAGAUAUAGUCGGACCACCGGGAGACCGGUCGGGUGGGUCGGUGACCCUCCUGGGGGACCCUGUGAGGUCCUUGGAAGGGUGCUAGUAGCUGGUUCCUGCCGAAGUUUCCCUCAGGAUAGCAGUAACGAACGUCAGUUUUAUGAGGUAAAGCGAAUGAUUAGAGGCCUUGGGGUUGAAACAACCUUAACCUAUUCUCAAACUUUAAAUAUGUAAGAAGUCCUUGUUUCUUGGUUGAACGUGGACAUUCGAAUGUACCGUUACUAGUGGGCCAUUUUUGGUAAGCAGAACUGGCGAUGCGGGAUGAACCGAACGCGGGGUUAAGGUGCCGGAAUGCACGCUCAUCAGACACCACAAAAGGUGUUGGUUCAUCUAGACAGCAGGACGGUGGCCAUGGAAGUCGGAACCCGCUAAGGAGUGUGUAACAACCCACCUGCCGAAUGAACUAGCCCUGAAAAUGGAUGGCGCUCAAGCGUGCUACCCAUACCCCGCCGCCAGGGUAGGAACGAUGCCCUGGCGAGUAGGCAGGCGUGGGGGUCGGUGACGAAGCCUGGGGAGUGAUCCCGGGUCGAACGGCCCCUAGUGCAGAUCUUGGUGGUAGUA